GGUUAAGUUAGAAAGGGCGCACGGUGGAUGCCUUGACACUAGGAGUCGAUGAAGGACGGGACUAACGCCGAUAUGCUUCGGGGAGCUGUAAGUAAGCUUUGAUCCGAAGAUUUCCGAAUGGGGAAACCCACCAUACGUAAUGGUAUGGUAUCCUUAUCUGAAUACAUAGGGUAAGGAAGACAGACCCAGGGAACUGAAACAUCUAAGUACCUGGAGGAAGAGAAAGCAAAUGCGAUUUCCUGAGUAGCGGCGAGCGAAACGGAACAUAGCCCAAACCAAGAGGCUUGCCUCUUGGGGUUGUAGGACAUUCUAUACGGAGUUACAAAGGAACGAGGUAGACGAAGCGACCUGGAAAGGUCCGUCGUAGAGGGUAACAACCCCGUAGUCGAAACUUCGUUCUCUCUUGAAUGUAUCCUGAGUACGGCGGAACACGUGAAAUUCCGUCGGAAUCUGGGAGGACCAUCUCCCAAGGCUAAAUACUCCCUAGUGAUCGAUAGUGAACCAGUACCGUGAGGGAAAGGUGAAAAGCACCCCGGAAGGGGAGUGAAAGAGAUCCUGAAACCGUGUGCCUACAAAUAGUCAGAGCCCGUUAACGGGUGAUGGCGUGCCUUUUGUAGAAUGAACCGGCGAGUUACGAUCCCGUGCGAGGUUAAGCUGAAGAGGCGGAGCCGCAGCGAAAGCGAGUCUGAAUAGGGCGUUUAGUACGUGGUCGUAGACCCGAAACCAGGUGAUCUACCCAUGUCCAGGGUGAAGUUCAGGUAACACUGAAUGGAGGCCCGAACCCACGCACGUUGAAAAGUGCGGGGAUGAGGUGUGGGUAGCGGAGAAAUUCCAAUCGAACCUGGAGAUAGCUGGUUCUCCCCGAAAUAGCUUUAGGGCUAGCCUUAAGUGUAAGAGUCUUGGAGGUAGAGCACUGAUUGGACUAGGGGUCCUCAUCGGAUUACCGAAUUCAGUCAAACUCCGAAUGCCAAUGACUUAUCCUUAGGAGUCAGACUGCGAGUGAUAAGAUCCGUAGUCAAAAGGGAAACAGCCCAGACCGCCAGCUAAGGUCCCAAAGUGUGUAUUAAGUGGAAAAGGAUGUGGAGUUGCUUAGACAACUAGGAUGUUGGCUUAGAAGCAGCCACCAUUUAAAGAGUGCGUAAUAGCUCACUAGUCGAGUGACUCUGCGCCGAAAAUGUACCGGGGCUAAAUACACCACCGAAGCUGCGGAUUGAUACCAAUGGUAUCAGUGGUAGGGGAGCGUUCUAAGGACAGUGAAGUCAGACCGGAAGGACUGGUGGAGUGCUUAGAAGUGAGAAUGCCGGUAUGAGUAGCGAAAGACGGGUGAGAAUCCCGUCCACCGAAUGCCUAAGGUUUCCUGAGGAAGGCUCGUCCGCUCAGGGUUAGUCAGGACCUAAGCCGAGGCCGACAGGCGUAGGCGAUGGACAACAGGUUGAUAUUCCUGUACCACCUCUUUAUCGUUUGAGCAAUGGAGGGACGCAGAAGGAUAGAAGAAGCGUGCGAUUGGUUGUGCACGUCCAAGCAGUUAGGCUGAUAAGUAGGCAAAUCCGCUUAUCGUAAAGGCUGAGCUGUGAUGGGGAAGCUCCUUAUGGAGCGAAGUCUUUGAUUCCCCGCUGCCAAGAAAAGCUUCUAGCGAGAUAAAAGGUGCCUGUACCGCAAACCGACACAGGUAGGCGAGGAGAGAAUCCUAAGGUGUGCGAGAGAACUCUGGUUAAGGAACUCGGCAAAAUGACCCCGUAACUUCGGGAGAAGGGGUGCUUUCUUAACGGAAAGCCGCAGUGAAUAGGCCCAAGCGACUGUUUAGCAAAAACACAGCUCUCUGCGAAGCCGUAAGGCGAAGUAUAGGGGGUGACACCUGCCCGGUGCUGGAAGGUUAAGGAGAGGGGUUAGCGUAAGCGAAGCUCUGAACUGAAGCCCCAGUAAACGGCGGCCGUAACUAUAACGGUCCUAAGGUAGCGAAAUUCCUUGUCGGGUAAGUUCCGACCCGCACGAAAGGUGUAACGAUUUGGGCACUGUCUCAACCAGAGAGUCGGUGAUAUUAUAGUACCUGUGAAGAUGCAGGUU
rnacentral:rRNA from 1 species